ensembl:lncRNA
GCUAUUUGUGUAACCUUGCAUUUUUAGACUACACCGUAGUGGCUACUAUUACUUGUACGUACAUUCUGCAAAUGCUAAUUCCGUCAUCUGUACUGUUGGAAGAGAAUCUAAGUGUCACAAUGGUGUAGUGGUGGAGAGGAGGAACCAGGCGCAGGCAGAGUGGCAUUCAAUGUGAUAAUUUAAUAGAGAAUAACACCGAGGACUUAAACAAACUGAAUGAAAACAAAGGGCUGGCUUUGCAACAAAACAACGCUCAACACUGACGUGAACAUAUGAAGACAGGGAAAAAUGACUGACAAGUGAGGGGAGCAGAGGAGAAACAUUUAAACACAUACUGACUUAAUUGGGACCUGGUGUUAACGACAAUUGGAGACAAGACAAUGAAGGAGUCCGGGGUGAGUUCGUGAACAAAUGGUAAACCGGGAAAAGCGGGAGAUGACAGAGCCGUCCGUCACCUCACCGUCACAAUAAGCUCAAAACUGGAAAUGCAUGAUCAGAACAAUCUGUCACUUCAAUCUGUCAUCUGUUACUCUGCUAGUCUCUGUACUCAUUCUCUGUCAAUGUUGUGAUGAUUGUUCCCGUGGAUCCACAAAAUUAAACUUGAAAUAAUCAACUGUUAUACGAACAACUGAGAGGUUUUAUUUUUAUAAAUCUCGAACAUUUUCCAUCUUCCACAGUAUCAAUAUGUUAAUCACACUCAUACAAACAAUAUGGUAAUCUGUAUAAUCACCAAUAUACAAUAUGUGUGUCCUACAUUGGAAAUAAUUAGAGCACCCUUGGAUGUACUAAACUUGAGGGCCUGACGGCCAUGUUACUUUAUGGGGUUUCCAAGGCCUGUGCCACCAAUAUUUAACAACAAUGGUUUGUUGGGUAAAUUCCAGAAUUAUAAGAAAUAAUGGUGGCGGAUCAAAGAAGAUCUGCCCAAAGAAUUAGCAUAGUGGGACGGCCAGGUGGUGUUAUACAAGAUAGUACAGUAAAAAAUGUAGUGUCUGAGGUUGGAAAGACAGUUGUUCUGCAGACCAACUCUGCUUUUUAUUAAAGUAUAUUUUGGAUUCACAAGUCCCUGAGUCUUUGCAUCUUUUUGGCUGGAGAUCUUUAGUGUUUUCCACGACAUUAAUGACCAAUGAUUCAGGGCUUUGGUAAAACCUCUGGACAUACAUCUUACCAAGUACAAAGGCAUUAAAGUUCAUUGUUGGCAAAAUGUAUAGUGACAUGAAGGGGAAGGCCGUGGCUGAAGUGGGGGAGGCAUCAGCAGUAACAUCAGACAUGUUGACCUCAAUAAACACAGAUUCUUACAUGGUUGUAACUUGCCACUUUGUUACCUCUGAAUGGAAGCAGUCCUCCAUUAUUUUGGGAGUAGCCAAGUUUCCCCAGACCCACACUGCUAUUCACAUAGCAGAAGCAAAACAGACUCUAAUGGGUGAGUGGGGAAUUACUGGAAAAGUGGGUAGCAUUGUCACAGAUGGUGCAUCAAAUAUGGUGGCCUCUGUUAAUUCUUUACAAAUCAGGCAUGUACACUGCUUUGUACACACUCAACUUUGUGGUAAAGAAGGCCAUGGAUCAGCCCCUGAACUGGAGGACAUCCGUACUUGAAGACGCAAGAUGGUGUGUUACUUCCGACACCACAGCCAAGGAAAGGCUUUCAGAAAUCCAGAAACGGAUGGCGCAACCUCAACAUGAACUCAUAUCAGAAGCUGAUGAAACAACACAGCCUUUUAACCAAGGUAUUGUAGAGACGUCUGAGGAGAGGUGGGUGUCUGCACCUAAAGAGAUCCCAAUGAUCAGAAGUCUUCAAUACGGGAGAUGAGCACCCAAAUGACAAAGGAUAUGGCCUCAGGAUAUGGCCUUCAUACAUCAUGAACAGAAAAGCUGCCUGCUUUGGCUAGGGUGCUGAAUCCCCGUUUUAGGUUGCUGCUCUUUAGUAAUGACGCCUGUUCCCAGACAGCUGUCAAAAGUUUAAUUCCACAAUAUGCAGCAUUAAUCAGGGCCUCGCUAUCUGAGAGGCAAUCACCUGCACCUACACCUGCACCACUGACUCAACCAACACCAGGCACUUCCACACAAAGCAUUGCAGUAGUUGAUCUAUGGAAAUCUUUGGAGAUUCAUGUGAGUGUUCGAAACAAGCCUCAAUGGUUCAGAAUGCCUCAGUUUCCCAUCCAAUUGUGUCCUGCUACCCAUGACAAAUCAUGACAGAAUGACCAACUAGAAACACUGGACGCAGCAGAGGUGGACAGUAGCGUAACUCCUGGGAUGGCUGGAUUCUGACACCAAGGAGGAGGACCCAUAACGUCACCCAUUGGAGGGCUGGCCCUUCCUGUGGCCACCCCAGAAACCAGCCCGGUGAAGAGGAACCACUGCCGCCACCACCACCAGAGUGGUUGAAGGAGGGGCUCCCCCUGCCACACCCGGAACGGGGUCUGGUCUCAGUCCUGAGGCGGGGCUGCAGCCUCUUCCCGGUCCCAAGGCAGGGCUGUGUCUCCUCUUCCUGCUCCCGAGGCGGGGCCACCACCCAUUUCGGUUCUUGGCCUUCACCCGUUUAUUUCCCCGGUCUCUAUCCCAAGGCGGAGUCUCCACCCGUUUCUUUCCCCGGUCUCUGUCCCGAGGCGGAGCCUCCACCCGUUUCUUUCCCUGGUCUCUGUCCCAAGGCGGAGCCUCCACCCAUUUCUUUCCCCGGUCUCUGUCCCAAGGCGGUGCCUCCACCCGUUUCUUUCCCCGGUCUCUGUCCCGAGGCGGAGCCGCCCCCCGUUCCAGUUCCCGGUCCUUAACCCGAGGCGGAGCCUCUGCCUUGGUGUCCCGCCUGCCCUCUCCUUUGUUUUGUUUUUUGGUGCGGCUGGCAGUUCACACCUGGGGGGGUACUGUGAGGUUCUGUUUUGUUUGGUUUAGAUUUGCUUUUGUUUUUGAACAUGGCCUGUUUUGUUUGGUUUUUGUCCUUUGAUUUUGAAUGCAGCUAGUCCUUUUGUAUUAUUGUUUACAUCCUACUUGUUUUCCCCCUCGUUGUGUCCCUAUUUACAUUCCUCCUGCCCCAGUGUUCCUUGUUGGUCAUUGUGUGUGUUCAUAUGUCUACGGUUGUGCUGCUUGUGAGUCUUUCUUGAUUAAACUACUUUUGCUUUUGAAACCUCUGUGCCUGUGUCCUGCAACCCAAUGCCAAAUUCUGACAGCUGCAUCCACAAAUGCAAGUUAAAUCUCCACAUGCAUAGAAGAACCCUGAUAUUAACAUGAUCCAGAAACGCUGCAGCCUCUUUUGGGCCUGAGCUCAUUUAAGAUGGACUGAGGUGAAGUGGAAAACUGUCCUGUGGUCUGAUGAAUCAAAAUGUAAAAGUCUUUGUGGGAAUCAUGGACACCUAAAGAGGCUAAAGAGGAGAGGGAUCAUCAGCCAGCGUGCGUGAUGGUAUGGGGGUGCAUUAGUGCACAUGGCAUGGGUGACUGUGCUCAACAAUAUGUACAGAUUUUGGAGCAACAUAUGCUGCCAUCCAGAGGACGUCUUUUUCAGGGAAGGCCUUGUUUAUUUUAGCAAGACAAUUUCAAACCCCAUUCUGCACGAAUUACAACCGCAUGGCUCCGUAGCAAAAGAGUCCGGGUGCUAAACUGGCCUGCCUGUAUUCCAGACCUGUCACCCAUUAAAGAUAUUUGGCAAUACUAUGAAAAGGAGACCCUGAACUAGUGACGGCCAAACAAGGCUUCAUUAGCGUUAUUUUAGCAGCAGGAUAUUAUGCUGGCAGCACUCAGAUUUUCUUUAUCACAAUAAAAGCCAUAAUUGAAAUGUAUAAGCCAAUAUAGUUAACAAUCCAGUCUGUGAAAAAGAACAGACAAGAAUAACAGAAAAACGCAUGUCAAAAAUGUUAUUAAUUGAUUUGCAUUUUAAUGAGUGAAAUAAGUAUUCAACCCCCCUCAUUCAGAAAGAUUUCUGGCUCCCAUGUGUCUUUUAUACAGGUAACAAGGUGAGAGGCGAUCAAAUAAUUUUUUCCCUCACUGUAAAUACCCUUUUGGUCAUUGUUUCCUUUUAAAAACAAUGUGACACUGUCCAAACACUUAUGAAACUGCACUGUAAACUCUUCUGCGGAUGGUAAAGGCUGACAUAUUCUAUGCACAACUAACUCCAUGAGAGUGAUCCUGAUCUGACAGAAUUUUUUUUUGGUAUUAUUAAAGCCAUCUAUUGAAGUCUUCAGGCACAGUCAUUUUCCAGGCAUUUAAUCUUGGGUAUGUUGGAACAAUUGGUGUAAUUCAAUCAGAACAUUCUCCAAAAGGGCGGGUUUAUGACAUUCCUACCAACCCCCAUACUGGAUGGAGAAUAAUGGCCUGCUUUUCUGUCAUUAACAAUUCUUUGCUCCAAAUGUUGAGAGACAACAGUGCCAAAACAGAACUUGUGUCACUGUCGAGACACUGAUGUUUCGUCAUGUGUAAAUGUUUAUUUAUUUCUGAAAUAAAAUGUGUGAUUUGACAGCAGUGUUAUUAAGCCAUCUUCCAAUUGUGUCGGCCAGGAAACAUAGGGCCAUGGAAACCUAAGAUAUUCUCCUUUUGUCUACAUGGAAUGGAUAGUGAUAUGCUUUCAUAGAAAGAAAAAUGUUUGUUGCCCUUCUAGGAACAUGGAAUCCACCAUUUAGCUACCUCUUUAAACCUGUUAAACUCGAGAUAUACCUUCAUUUAAGACAAAGGCUUCAAAUCCUAAUCUUACUUGUGGAUUAGCAGGAGUACAAUAAAAAGUAGGAAGAAGUCCAUAUGUUGUCCAACAAGUUAUUUAUAUUUCAUAAGGUAUCAAGCAAUCUCAGUAAAUUACCAAAAAAUUAAGUUUUGUUACUACUUAGGAAAUUCUAUGCCUUAUUUUGACAGUAAAGUGUGGAAAGAUAGAGAGGACAAGUUUUUGAUGAAAGAGAAGAGGACCAGAUUCAAACUUGCGCUUUAGUGCAAAUGUGUCACAGGCACUGGUCCUGACCACUGGACCAAACAAGGCCACAAAUAUUUUUCCUUUUUAUUGUGUUGAUGUUUACAUGUACUUAGUCUAAUGUUGGGCUACCACAAGCAACCAGAACAGUUUCAGUGUGCCUUGGCAUAGUCUUUAAAAGUCUCUGCCAUCCUAAUGGUGUGAAGAAACACCAAUUCUUCCAAAAGCUAUUCCCUCAUUUGGUGUUUGAUGAUGGUGGAGGAGAGCGCUGCCCAUCACGUUGGUCCAUAAUGUCCCAUAGCUGUCCAACGGGACUGAGAACGGUUGACUGUGAAGGCAUAGCAUAUGAUUCACAUCGUUUUCAUACUGUUAUGGACAUUUCUUUAACUGAUGUAUUCUUAUUGAUUAAAGACCAGGGAGUCCUCAUGUUUAGAUAAAAAAAGGAAUGUUGGUUGUGCUGUGGUAAAGUAAGGUGAAUAGGUUAACGUAAAUCUUCAGCAGGAUGGGGGUAGAUGGAGACCAAAGGGUUUUAGGACAGGAUAGAGGAAGAUACACAACAGUAAACAUUAUGGCAGGAAGGAUAAGGUGGGGGGACAGCCCACCCUUUGGGUGAAACCUAGGAUUGUGAUAGAACAAAGGGAAAUGUGUUUUAUUGAGUUAAGACAGAUGUGCAGCAUCUUACCACUACCCUUUUCCCCCUAGAAGUACUGGUGAUUGUCCUGCAUUAAUUUAGAGCCUCCUCAGAUGAUUAUCCUGUAAGCUUUUGCAAAUAAACUAUAAAUUGUGCCAAGAGAAUUUUGUCUCUGUCCUUACUCCUUUUAAAGUUCUGAUCGAUGGUAUUACCAUCACAAUACUCAUCAAACCGUUCACUGACCCCUUGUGCUCUGUCGAUGGGGGCAUUGUCAUCCUGGAAGACACUGAAUAAAGAACGCUCUUUCAAAAUCUCUUAUGCCUCAUUUCCAAAGUCACGGACCAGUGCCAGACAGCCAGGAGGACGUGGCAGAGUAGCCCUGCUCUAACUUGUUGCCAAGCCCUGGACUUUAGAACUUAGGGCGGGGUUUGCUGGAUGAUUUUAUUUCACUACCCUUUAUUUUUCGUAAAUGGAAAGCCAAAUCGCGUUGAUAUUUUACUUUCCCCUUCCCAUCUGAGCCCGUCCUUGCUUGGUGCUUGGUACCAAACGUGUAGUUGAAGGUGCUCAAUUGUACCAUGCACCUGUAUGGAAGCAUCUGCAUUCAUUAUGUUCCUCCACUCACUUAUUCAGGUACUUCCUUUAAUUUGUCAUCUGUUUAGAUGUCGAAGCAACCAGACAUCUGCAUCUGGGUAGCUACACAAUCAAAUUACUUAUGUACUUUAAUAAAAGCAGGAUAAGCCUGUUGGGACUUCAGUUAUAAUUGUCUUCGGUUCAGACCAUAUUUUCAUUAUAAUGUACCGCUUGUGACGUAAAGGCUCACAACCUUACUAUACCCAACCUGCCGGUUAAUACUUGUAUGCAUUUACUAACAAUAUUGAGUCAGAUCAGAGAUCAAAUUAACACAAAGGUUAAUUCUCCUACAAAAACUCUCUACCUUUAUCUUCAGUACAUUUUAAGUGGUAAAACCUUUACCACCCAACUUCAGGUUCGAAUCAGGCCUACUGCUUUUUCCGCAAAAACCCUCAAUUUUCUUUUUUAAUUUAGUCUCCACUGUGUCUGAACAAGGGCAAAAUAAAGAGGUAAUCAAAAACCACCUCGAAAUUUGAAGGGAGCAUUUGUAUUCCCAAACAGCCCAAGAAAUCUAACCAACAGAUGCCAAACAAUGUUACAUGCUAGUUGUAAGCAUGUAUAGCGCAGGGUAAGCUUUCACACCUAUCACACAUUGGAAUAAAUUACACCACGGCAACAGAAUGUGCAAAGUCCAGACUAUAUCAAAUAAAAACUGAAAUUGUAAAGAUGCAAUAUAAAAAAUGUAUUUAGAAAAAUAAUACAUCAAGAUUACAUUCAAAACAAACCAUAUUAGCCAAUGCAGCACAUUAGAGGUAACUACUGUCAGUUUUAGCAGUCUCAGUAUCAAUAACCAUACAGUACUGCUCUUCAAGGCAGCCACUUGUGUGAUUAAAAUAUCAAGAGCUGAAUUCGACAGAGCCCACAAAUCCGAACAAAAUCAAUCAAGCUUGAAUAGUUCAAAUCUUUUAGCAAUUUGUAAACAAGAGAUUUGCAUAACAUGUUUUACCCCAAACUUGUAAUAUAAAAAUACAAGUGACAAUAAAGUAAAAAACAAACAACAACCAUCGAACAAACCACAAAACUUGCAGUUGCUGGUUCUGAGGUAGAGGAUGCUGGCAGAUACACUGUCUCAGUCAUUCAACAACAUUAUAACUAUAUACAGAUGAAAUGUAUUAGGAGAUGCAUAAACACAAUUAGAACAAUCUCUGUAUUAUAAAUGAACAUAUGUUUUGAAAAAGUACAAAAAUAACAAAUUAUACACAUACAUUUAAAUUGGAAACAAGAUACAGUGAUUAGAAUGUCAUGCAACAGUCCACACUUCACUCCUAAUAUCCAUUAGUGCAGGCAAGAUGUCUUUAGGGAUAGCUGCUGAACUUAAUUCUUCUGCUUGAAUUUUUUCUGAAACUCCUGGAAGAGGGUGGAGGAAAACUUUGUACCAUUGGUCGUACCUUUAAUGGUAGUAGAUUGGACAGGAUUCUUCUGAGGACAUACAGACCAUGCACCU